GAUGAACGCUGGCGGCGUGCUUAACACAUGCAAGUCGAACGGAAAGGCCCAAGCUUGCUUGGGUACUCGAGUGGCGAACGGGUGAGUAACACGUGGGUGAUCUGCCCUGCACUUCGGGAUAAGCCUGGGAAACUGGGUCUAAUACCGGAUAGGACGAUGGUUUGGAUGCCAUUGUGGAAAGUUUUUUCGGUGUGGGAUGAGCUCGCGGCCUAUCAGCUUGUUGGUGGGGUAAUGGCCAACCAAGGCGUCGACGGGUAGCCGGCCUGAGAGGGUGUACGGCCACAUUGGGACUGAGAUACGGCCCAGACUCCUACGGGAGGCAGCAGUGGGGAAUAUUGCACAAUGGGCGCAAGCCUGAUGCAGCGACGCCGCGUGGGGGAUGACGGCCUUCGGGUUGUAAACUCCCUUCGCUAGGGACGAAGCGUUUUUGUGACGGUACCUGGAGAAGAAGCACCGGCUAACUACGUG
rnacentral:rRNA from 1 species